rnacentral:rRNA from 1 species
UGGGGAAUAUUGGACAAUGGGGGCAACCCUGAUCCAGCGAUGCCGCGUGUGUGAAGAAGGCCUGCGGGUUGUAAAGCACUUUAGUUGGGGAGGAAAGGUAUGUACUGCAUAAGUGCAUGCUGUGACGUUACCCAAAGAAUAAGCACCGGCAAACUCUGUGCCAGCAGCCGCGGUAAUACAGAGGGUGCAAGCGUUAAUCGGACUUACUGGGCGUAAAGGGUGCGUAGGCGGAAGGAUAAGUUAGUUGUGAAAGGCCUGGGCUUAACCUAGGAACUGCAAUUAAGACUGUCCAUCUAGAUUGGGGAGUAGAGGGGAGCGGAAUUUCCGGUGUAGCGGUGAAAUGCGUAGAUAUCGGAAGGAACAUCAGUUGCGAAGGCGGCUCUCUGGACUCAAACUGACGCUGAGGCACGAAAGCGUGGGUAGCGAACAGGAUUAGAUACCCACGUAGUCCCUGAGCGGGCUGGCAAGGCGCAU